rnacentral:lncRNA from 1 species
UCCUUCCUGAUCGAUAAAGGUUCAUAUUUCAAGAUAUGGGAUGGGUCGGGCUGAUAUUUUCGUAGUGAUGAUACAUGGAAGACAUUAUAGACGUUUGCCAAUUCGGGUGGUAAGGCAAGUCUAUAAGCGACACCUCCGAUUCUUUCCAGGAUUUCAAAUGGUUCGAUGUAACGUGGGCUCAGCUUUCCUUUCUUAUCGAAUCUCAUAAUGCCUUUUAUUGGUGAGAUUUUUAAGAAAACUCGAUCACCUUCCUCAAAUUCAAGAUCUCUCCUUC